CUUCACCGACCCCAGCAGCAGCGGCCGGUCCUGCGGACGCUCCUGCCCGUACGUGGCCAGCAACGCCUGCGCCUC
rfam:Micromonospora echinofusca strain DSM 43913 genome assembly, chromosome: I